UGUCUCCUCUAUUUUAGGUGCCUUGGGAUCACUGAAAGAUGAUGGAAAUACAUGUCUGAGAAGGCAAAGUUACCAGGAAAGGGAGAGGAAUUAAGGCCACAUGACUGUGAACCUUCCUCUCUUUCAAGUGGAAUGUGCAGACCCAGCAAUGCUCCUGCCUUGGGCACGUGCUUCUGAUCUGACCACCCAGAACAACCUGUGUCUUUUGGUCACACAGAUUCUGGAAAUUAAAACCCAGCUAUGCUCACCUGGCAGCUCCCCAGCAGCAGAAAGCUCAGAGGGAGGACUUGGUGGGACCACAUCAGCGAGGGGCUGUGAAGGAACUGCCACUGCCCCACUAUUCCUGGCACAGGCCCAGGCUGAGGAAGCAUGGCAGCAGGAACACCCAGGCCCUAGCACAGCAGCAAUCUGGAAGGAUGCUGCAGAGGAAGGACACACGGAUGAGUGACUGGAUUUCCUGCCUCCAUAACUAACAACACCUGGACGUUAAAUGGAUAAGAAACCAACUCUGAUCACUAGCAUUUAUUUUUUUUUACCUUCUCAGACAGCACUCACUGGAGUUAGAGACAAUGGAUGAGCUAGAACUGCAGCAACUGUAUAUGGAGAAUAAGCAGCUGACUCACCCUGGCCAUUCAGAAGGUGAAAACAUCCUAGUGUUGAGCAAGGUGGAGACUGAGGGCCUCACGUGUCACCUAAUCUACCUGGCUAGGCUGGCUGGCAUGACUGCAAACUCUGUUUCUGCUCCAAGAAGUACAGAAGGUGAUUGCCAGUGAGAUCUGCUCUCUACAGACC